UAAUGUUGUGAGGAAAGCUGAGCAGCAGCUUAUCAAUGACAGGUCACGGAUCAAGGAGUAUCUUCCCAUUGUUGGAUUGGUUGAGUUCAACAAGUUAAGCGCUAAGCUCAUAUUAGGCGCUGACAGUCCUGCUAUUCGGGAGAAUCGGGUUACAACCGUGGAGUGUUUGUCUGGUACUGGUUCCCU